UAGGGAAUCUUCCGCAAUGGACGCAAGUCUGACGGAGCAACGCCGCGUGAGUGAAGAAGGAUUUCGGUUCGUAAAACUCUGUUGUUAGAGAAGAACAGCGCAUAGAGUAACUGUUAUGCGUGUGACGGUAUCUAACCAGAAAGCCACGGCUAACUACGUUCCAGCAGCCGCUGUAAUACGUAGGUCCCGAGCGUUGUCCGGAUUUAUUGGGCGUAAAGCGUGCGCAGGCGGUUAGAAAAGUCUGAAGUGAAAGGCAGUGGCUCAACCAUUGUAGGCGUGGGAAACUGUGUAACUGGAGUGCAGAAGGGGAGAGUGGAAUUCCAGGUGUAGCGGUGAAAUGCGUAGAUAUAUGGAGGAAAACCGGUGGCGAAAGCGGCUAUCUGGUCUGUAACUGACGCUGAGGCUAGAAAGCGUGGGGAGCGAACAGG
rnacentral:rRNA from 1 species